rnacentral:rRNA from 1 species
GACGAACGCUGGCGGCGUGCUUAACUCAUGCAAGUCGAACGGAAAGGCCCCUUUGGGGGUACUCGAGUGGCGUACGGGUGAGUAACACGUGCGUAACCUGCCCUUGACUUCGGGAUAACUUCAGGAAACUGGGGCUAAUACCGGAUAGGAAUCCUUGCUGCAUGGUGGGGGUUGGAAAGCUUCGGCGGUUUUGGAUGGACUCGCGGCUUAUCAGCUUGUUGGUGGGGUAGUGGCUUACCAAGGCUUUGACGGGUAGCCGGCCUGAGAGGGCGACCGGCCACAGUGGGACUGAGAUACGGCCCAGACACCUACGGGAGGCAGCAGUGGGGAAUAUUGCACAAGGGGCGGAAGCCUGAUGCAGAAACGCCGCGGGCGGGAGGACGGCCUUCGGGUUGUAAACCGCUUUCAGCAGGGGCGAAGCUUGUGGUGACGGUACCUGCAGAAGAAGCACCGGCUAACUACGUG